UCGGGUGUAGUGUGGUGCCCACUCCCUCGUCUUGUUCGUUGGAGAUGAAAUUGAAGGGAGCGGCCCGGGUUCGAUUCCCGGCGCCAGAA